CUUAAGCAUAUCAAUAAGCGGAGGAAAAGAAACCAACAGGGAUUGCCCUAGUAACGGCGAGUGAAGCGGCAACAGCUCAAAUUUGAAAUCUGGCGCAAGCCCGAGUUGUAAUUUGUAGAGGAUGCUUCUAGGUAGCGACCGGUCUAAGUUCCUUGGAACAGGACGUCAUAGAGGGUGAGAAUCCCGUAUGUGACCGGCCCGCGCCUUCCACGUAGCUCCUUCGACGAGUCGAGUUGUUUGGGAAUGCAGCUCUAAAUGGGAGGUAAAUUUCUUCUAAAGCUAAAUACCGGCCAGAGACCGAUAGCGCACAAGUAGAGUGAUCGAAAGAUGAAAAGCACUUUGGAAAGAGAGUUAAAAAGCACGUGAAAUUGUUGAAAGGGAAGCGCUCACAACCAGACUUCUGGGCGGUGUUCCGCCGGUCUUCUGACCGGUCUACUCGCCGUCCCGAGGCCAACAUCAUCUGGGACCGCCGGAUAAGACCUCAGGAAUGUGGCUCCCCUCGGGGAGUGUUAUAGCCUGUGGUGAUGCGGCGCGUCUCGGGUGAGGUCCGCGCUUCGGCAAGGAUGUUGGCGUAAUGGUUGUCAGCGGCCCGUCUUGAAACACGGACCAAGGAGUCUAACAUCUAUGCGAGUGUUCGGGUGUCAAACCCCUACGCGUAAUGAAAGUGAACGGAGGUGGGAAGGGUAACCUGCACCAUCGACCGAUCCUGAUGUCCUCGGAUGGAUUUGAGUAAGAGCAUAGCUGUUGGGACCCGAAAGAUGGUGAACUAUGCCUGAAUAGGGUGAAGCCAGAGGAAACUCUGGUGGAGGCUCGCAGCGGUUCUGACGUGCAAAUCGAUCGUCAAAUUUGGGUAUAGGGGCGAAAGACUAAUCGA
rnacentral:rRNA from 1 species